UACGUAGGGUGCGAGCGUUGUCCGGAAUUACUGGGCGUAAAGGGCUCGUAGGCGGCCAACUAAGUCAGACGUGAAAUCCCUCGGCUUAACCGGGGAACUGCGUCUGAUACUGGAUGGCUUGAGGUUGGGAGAGGGAUGCGGAAUUCCAGGUGUAGCGGUGAAAUGCGUAGAUAUCUGGAGGAACACCGGUGGCGAAGGCGGCAUCCUGGACCAAUUCUGACGCUGAGGAGCGAAAGCCAGGGGAGCAAAGCGGG
rnacentral:rRNA from 1 species